rnacentral:lncRNA from 1 species
GGAAAAAAAUAAGUGUGAGUAGAGCUGUACCUUACAGGCUUCUAAAAGAGGAAAUUAGUGGGCUGCUGCAAGUAGCUUGUUUCAUAUGCUGUACAGGAAGUGAGAUGAUCGCUGCUCACUGCAGAAUAUCCCUCAAAUAAUAUUCCUUCAAGAUUUGUGUCCAGUCCAAGUUGAUGGUUAGGGUAAACCGGAAGAACUUUAAAUGCUUGGGACAUGUGUGGCGGCUCAGCGAAAACCACAAACCAGCCAGGGGCCUGGCCAGAUUCAGCCCAGAUGUGUGAGUGAUGCUGGCUCUGCUGCGGGCAGGAUUUACAAG